UAAAAACUACAGUAAAUGUCAAUUUGUAUACGAUAUGACAAUGCUUUGAAUUUCCGUUAACCCCUUGUUGGACUCCAGCUAUAUUUAGUAUGUUCAAACAACCACACCCACCCCUUUUCGAAUUUUUAUAACUUGUAGUUUGGCGCAUUGCCUGCAAAUGUCAUACACAACCUGAGGGCCCGUCCCACUGUAAGUCAUCACCUCAAACCUGCCAAACAACAUAUUUCCCGCCCUGCCGCAGAUACAUUGCAGAACUUCCAGAGCCAGCAGCGAGGACCCUUUAAAUAUGGCAUCUGGGGGCCCUGUACGAGAACUGCAGGAAGACUCUGUUUGCCCACUGUGUGGAUGUUACUUUGAAGACCCUGUGACUACGGAAUGUGGACACAGUUACUGUAGGGGCUGUUUAGUUGCCCAAACAGAAGGUAAAGGAACCCUGAGCGGGCAGGUAAUUUGUCCCAGGUGUGGAAGGUCCAUGGGCUGGAGAGGUGUGACCACAGAUGUCCGGCUUGGGGUAACCACAAGAAUUGCCCGGAGGCUUAACAUUCAAGCUCCAGCACCUAGAAGAAGGAAAGAUGGAAGAGAGGACACUCGUUGAUGCAGAGCAUUGCGCUAUCUUUUCUGAAAGACAGAAGAUAUCUGCUGGAGAGCUCGGCUAUAUUAUUAGCCAAAACCUGCCAGAUAAUGGUCCCCACAACACAACUUCCUUGUUAAUCCCUCUUUUUCUUAAUGAGGCCAUGCAGAGGACUGGAGUUUCCAUUAUAAUUCUCUGCUGAGAAAAACUAUGCAGAGCAUCGCACCCUGCAAUAAACUCUAUUCUGGCCCUGAGUUUCUUCCCUUAGAGACUAUGCAGAACAUUCUCAUUAUCUCCUUUUUACAGAUAUUACUAAACACAUUCAGGGUUAUGUGACCUGCUUUCUGCUGGCAGUAUUAAUAUGUAUAUAUUCAUGUAUAUAUUUUUUUUCAUUAAUUCUUUGAUAAAGAGCUGUAUAUUCUCUUUUUAUACUAACUUAUAUGUGUGUAUAUAUAUAUGCUUAUAUCUUAUGAUAAUCAUAUGUACUGAUACUGAGUAUCUAUACUCUAGUAAUAAAGCGUAUUUAUAAUAUGUUGUCCUGUCUGUGUGUAUUGAUUAAAAUGUUCUAUCUGAAUAUUUGCUAUGUAGAAUAAUUCCUAUUCUUUGUUAGAAAAGGAUCUAUAAAAGCUAACAUUACCCAUAGUUUACCAUUAUCCCAGAUAUUGCAGGACUGUCAGGGAUAAGAAGCAUGUUGCAGGGAUGGAGUUUCCGAACUCUGCAAAGUACACUCUAGUUUCUCUUAGGGCAGUGAAAAAAAUACAUUUUCAGAGGUAAAGGAACAGUGUACUGCAAUUAUUCUCCCCUUAACAUGUUUCCAAUGACUUGUAAAACCAGUCACAGAGUAAAAAAUAUAUGAGAAUUUAUUUAUUUUUGUAUAUGAAAUAGCUGAUUUUGUUAGUUGAAACCACAACCCAUUAAAAUAGGUUGAGCUUGCAUGGAAAUCAGAUCUCCUUAUUUGAUCACUUCCUGUACAUACACACGCUUCUUUAUAUUAUAUCUGAAAGUUCCUUUAUUUGUUUGAAGCAUUGGCCGCGCUGAGCACCACAGGCAACACAUGGCAGAACAAUAUUAUGCUGAGUGGUGUCGUUUCCGCCUCUUAGCCAACAGCCGUGCGGGCUAUCUGGCUUGGCGCCAUCUGGCCCACAUGGCUAUUUGCUAAGAGGUGGAAACAUCACCUCACAGCAAAAUAGCUUUCUGCCAUGGGCUGCCUGAGGAGCUCAGUGCAGCGAACGCUUCCAAUAAAUAAAGGAACUUUCAGCAUGAAGUAUUUUAUACUUCAUGACUGAAAGUCCCCUUUAUUUGGUUUAAUGGUAAAUCCUAGCGUUUCGAAAAUGCUAGGAUUUAUCAUCACUAUAACUGUUGCUCUUUAUUAUACAUGACAGAAAAAAAUGUGUACAAUGUGAUGUUAAGAUAUAAAAAAUGAUGACAUAUUCUAAAUAUAAAUCUGCUGCCCUUUUAAGUACAAAGUCUCUUGCAAAACAUGUUUUAAUAAUCUCUCACACCAUUUCAGAUAAUUAUGCAUUGCUGGUAAUUUAUCCUUUUGAAGAGAGUUCACAUAAAGUGCAAUAUGUAAUUUUCUUUUGUCCCAUUUUUGGGUGUAUGCUGCAAAUGCUGUAUUGUUUGUGUAUAGAAGAGAUAUUUUUAAACCUGUAUACAGGUGUACCUAAGAGAAAUUGCGGGUUUGGUUCUAGACCACCGCAAUAAAGCGAAUAUAACAAUAAAGUGAGUCACACAUAUUUUUUUGUUUCCCAGUGCAUAUAAAAGUUAAAUUUAUACUAUACUGUACUCUAUUAAGUGUGUAAUAGCAUUAUGUCUAAACAAUGUAUAUACCGUAAUUAAAAAAUACUUUAUUGCUAAAAAAUGCUAACCAUCAUCUGA